rnacentral:rRNA from 1 species
UGGGGAAUUUUGGACAAUGGGGGCAACCCUGAUCCAGCCAUUCCGCGUGAGUGAAGAAGGCCUUCGGGUUGUAAAGCUCUUUCGGCAGGAACGAAACGGUCUCACCUAAUACGUGGGGCUAAUGACGGUACCUGAAGAAGAAGCACCGGCUAACUACGUGCCAGCAGCCGCGGUAAUACGUAGGGUGCGAGCGUUAAUCGGAAUUACUGGGCGUAAAGCGUGCGCAGGCGGUUAUGUAAGACAGGUGUGAAAUCCCCGGGCUUAACCUGGGAACUGCGCUUGUGACUGCAUAACUUGAGUGUGGCAGAGGGGGGUGGAAUUCCACGUGUAGCAGUGAAAUGCGUAGAGAUGUGGAGGAACACCGAUGGCGAAGGCAGCCCCCUGGGUCAACACUGACGCUCAUGCACGAAAGCGUGGGGAGCAAACAGGAUUAGAUACCCCAGUAGUCCCUGAGCGGGCUGGCAAGGCGCAU